UACGUAGGUGGCAAGCGUUGUCCGGAUUUAUUGGGUUUAAAGGGUGCGUAGGCGGGUAUUUAAGUCAGAGGUGAAAGACGGCCGCUCAACGGUCGCAGUGCCUUUGAUACUGGAUAUCUUGAGUGCAGACGAGGUCUGUGGAAUGGAUGGUGUAGCGGUGAAAAUGCUUAGAUACCAUCCAGAACACCAAUUGCGAAGGCAGCAGACUAGGGUGCAACUGACGCUGAGGCACGAAAAGUGCGGGGGAUCAAAACAGG
rnacentral:rRNA from 1 species